GGGGUUGUGGCUCAGAGGUAGAGCGCUCGCCUAGCAUGUGUGAGGCCCUGGGUUUGAUCCUCAGCAUCCCA
rnacentral:tRNA from 1 species